rnacentral:misc_RNA from 1 species
GAUGAAGAACGCAGUGAAAUGCGAUAAGUAAUGUGAAUUGCAGAAUUCAGUGAAUCAUCGAAUCUUUGAACGCACAUUGCGCCCGCCAGCAUUCUGGCGGGCAUGCCUGUUCGAGCGUCAUUUCAACCCUCGAGCCCGACUUCCUUGCGGAGGACGGCUCGGCGUUGGGGGACGGCACACUCCCCCCGGCUCGCCGGGGACGCCGCCCCCGAAAUUCAGUGGCGGCCCUCGGAGGCGACCUCUGCGUAGUAACUCAACCUCGCAAAGGGAAGCUCCGAGCGGCCACGCCGUGAAACCCCAACUAUAUCAAGGUUGACCUCGAAUCAGGUAGGACUACCCGCUGAACUUAAGCAUAUCAAUAAGCGGAGGA